UUCACAUGUUACUUCAUAUUUAUCUAUCCCAAAUCACCUGUAACAUGUCACAUUAUAGCAAGUAGGUCUGUAUACUUCUCAUUCAAGAUAUUCCCUUUCUGCUCUCGAGGGAGAAGAGACUGUCGGGUGAGAUAAAAGUUGGCUUGGACUCACUGCAUUCCUUGAAGAGCUUUUCUUGGACUCUUUAAACCAUUUUCUGAACUACACUCAGGACCCUGGUUUCUGCAACACCUGACCUCCAAGAUCAUUAGAGUUACGAAGAUUGCAGGAGGUCAGGAGUAAAAAGAGGCAAUUGGACAACAUUCUCUAAAGUGGAAAAGAAGGAACAGAAAUAGAAAAGAAGAGAAUGAAAGGAAACUGGAAAAGCUCUCUUCUGACUGGAAGAGACCUGUGGUCACAGCCUGGUGUCAGGAAUGGACCCCAUCAGAUUAAAACCCUGAGUAAUACUAAUACCAGCCAUGAACGAAUUCAGGGAAAUCAGAAACUGGCAUGACCUGGAAACCUUAAGACUCUAGAGACAGUGUGAUGAGAAGUGACUUCCUCCUCUAACCCGGCUCUUCCAGAUGAUCUCCUUCUCUCCCCGCAGAGCUGUCUUCACAGUGGGGGCUAUUCUGGCCACUCAGUCAAACCUCCAUAAGCACCCAUGUCAGCAGCUCUUGGAAUGGCACCAUUUUGAACAAAGACCUGGCUACUGCCCCAUCAACUCUCCAUUGGCCAUGGAAUGUUCAUGGAGAGGGUGUGACCUCCUUUUAAAGUGAAGUAGUCAGGUGCCGGUGGCCUUCUACAUAAAGAUGGGCCUUUGGGUCAAAUUCUGUAUAUAACUGCAAAUGUGUGACCAGCAUAACCAACUGAGUCCUUAUCACCUAACAAUUAUCAGGACCUGGCAUAUCCUCCUUCUCAGGGACUAGGCCUCAAGGAAGACAGGAGAGGAGAGAGUCCUGGGGAAGUGGGAUUAGGAAAAGUAGAAUUUUGUGCCUCUCAAUGGACAAAUGGUGCUGAGGUCGAAUAUCAAGAUCAGAGAUGGGAAAACAAGGGGCAGAGAGAAGACAGGAAAAGAGCAGAACACCUCGGGUGCCACAGAAGAAGCUGGGGUUGGGAAGAUACCGUGAUGUCCCCAGUCUGGCCAAAUGUGAAUGGCGUGGCCCCUGCUGACCUCUCCAGAAUUGACUGGACUCUCAGAACACACUUUUGGAGAGUGUGCAUACUCACCCAGUACUCUCCCCAAUUCUCUUCUUGCCAUGACUGUGUUAGGUGUGACCCCAAAGUUAUUAAUCAUCCGUAGAAAACUGUGGUACAUCUCAAGAGAUGUCACACCCAGGGGAGGUAAUUUCUUCAUGGUGAUGUCAGUGUCCACAAAGCAGGGGGCAUGUGACACUUAUGAUUUGUGAAUGAGGAAGCAAAUCCCAAAUAGGAAAACCAAGCACCUGCAUGUCACGCAGAUAAAAAUUUCCCAGAUAGUGGUUGUGGAAGCUAUAGUACAAUGAAAUCUUCGCUUCAAAGAAGCAAAUAAAAGAGGUCCACUAGGUGCCAGAUACUCUCCUGAGGAUGCAGCGAUGAAUAAACCAGAAAAUGUUCUGCUCAUAUGGAAUUUGAUUCUGAAAGUGAAAGGCACUCAAUGAUCAACUGAUAACAAAAUAUCAGGUGUAAGGAGAUUUCAUACAGGGAAUUAAAACUUAUUGAUGUGAUAGAGAAUGACUGGAUAGCUACUUCAGCCUAAAUGAUCAGGACAGACCUCUUUCAGGAGAUGAUGUCCUUUCAUAUCAUAUUUUCAGUUUCAGUUCAUUCAAACUAUGUUCUGAUUUUCAUUUCUAUUUCUGUUAUUUAAGAAUAUGUUAUUUACUUUCCAAAUACUUGUGGACUUUCUAGAACUAUUUCUUUGAGUUCUUAUGUAAUUCCAUUUGGUCAGAUAAAAAACUUUGUAUGAUUUGAAUUCUUAUAGAUGUUGAGUCUCAUUACAUGAGUAUGAAGAUUUAUCUUAUGGCUAUAAAACCCAGAGUAUGGUCUACCUGAUAAAUAUUCUAUGUGCAAAUUAAAAGAACCUGAAUUCUGUUAUUGGGUGGAGUGUUCUUUAAAGAGUAAUUGGUUCAAGUUGA